CUCCAGAGCUGCAUAGGUGGUUCUUAGUAGCACUUGAAGAGCUUGGUGGUGCUCAUGGUGUGUCUCGAACCAAUUUAUUUUUAGUACUAUUUGUCACGCAAACUUGAACUCAGUGAUCUAAUAGUUGCUCUAGGGGAGACCACUGGGAAGCCUACUUUUGAAAGGGUUCUUGAAAUAAUGAAGAGAAGUCCCAAGGGCAGGGUGGCACCUCUGCUGUUUCAAGCAUUUUCAACUAUUCCAUACAUUUCACAAGUUUCAUUUAUCGGAACAAAUGGUUUGUUCUUAUCAUACUACAAAUGCCGUAUAUUCCAACUACUCAUUGCCUAUCAACCGAAAAAAGCUCAACAGUGUACACAUGGUACACUCAUCCAGUUGGUCGCAACACUGGAAUGCCAUACGGAGAAGCUAUGAUUACUCCUCCAAGUACUACAAAUGCAACUACAGACAGAUGAAGUGGUCUCUGUAACAAUCUGCAUCAAACCCACAAGUUUCCUCCAAAGGUUAUUUAUGUGCAAGCAAAAUUUCUUGAUACAUAUUAAUUUGAAGAUCUUAAUUUGUCCAAGUUAAAGUCAUCUCACAACGGAAUGCAAAGCGGUUGAUUGGGUUAACAAUUAUAAUUU